rnacentral:misc_RNA from 1 species
GACAAUUAUGGAUAUAAGAAUCACAAGCUAUGACUGGCAUGAGUUCUUUCCACAUAUGCCACAUAACAUUGGAGUAGUGAUUGUCCUAUGGGCGCCAGUCCUUCUGGUCUAUUUCAUGGACACACAAAUUUGGUAUGCUAUAUUCUCUACAAUUGUUGGAGGGAUCUAUGGUGCAUUCAGCCACCUUGGCGAGAUAAGGACGCUAGGGAUGUUACGAUCACGAUUUGAGUCAAUUCCUUCAGCUUUUAGUGAACGUCUCGUGCCAUCUUCCAAAAAAGAAAAAAAGCAUAGAUAUGAGGAUGAUUCUUUGGAGAGGAAGAACAUCGCGAAGUUCUCUCAGAUGUGGAAUGAGUUCAUACUGUCCUUGCGGAUGGAGGAUCUGAUCAGCCAUAAGGAAAGAGAUCUGCUUCUUGUACCGUAUUCGUCAAGUGAAGUGUCUGUUAUUCAGUGGCCUCCUUUUUUGCUCGCUAGUAAGAUUCCAAUAGCACUGGAUAUGGCAAAAGAUUUCAGGGGAAAAG